rnacentral:ncRNA from 1 species
CCGGAUGAUGGCCCGGGGGAACCCUAACGGGACCCCGGGCCGGACGG